rnacentral:rRNA from 1 species
GACGUAGGUGGCGAACGUUAUCCGGAAUUAUUGGGCGUAAAGGGUGCGUAGAUGGCCUGAUAAGUUAACAGUGGUAAAUCGAGGCUCAACCUCGUGGAAACUGAUAGUACUGUCUGGCUCGAGUACAGAAGAGGUUAACGGAAUUCCAUGUGGAGCGGUAAAAUGCAUAGAUAUAUGGAAGAACACCAAUAACGGCGAAGGCAGUUAACUAUUCUGUUACUGACAUUGAGGCACGAAAAGCGUGGGGGAGCAAAAACGG